rnacentral:rRNA from 1 species
UCCUACGGGGGGCAGCAGUGGGGAAUAUUGCACAAUGGGGGGAACCCUGAUGCAGCAAUGCCGCGUGAAGGAUGAAGGUUUUCGGAUUGUAAACUUCUUUUGUACGGGACGAAGAAAGUGACGGUACCGUAAGAAUAAGCCACGGCUAACUACGUGCCAGCAGCCGCGGUAAUACGUAGGUGGCAAGCGUUAUCCGGAUUUAUUGGGUUUAAAGGGUGCGUAGGCGGAAUGCCAAGUCAGCGGUAAAAUCGCGGGGCUCAACCUCGCUCCGCCGUUGAAACUGGCGUUCUUGAGUGGGCGAGAAG